CCUAAGUCAUUUCCUUUUUACAAAGAAAAAAAAAGCUUAUCGUCGUUGUAGACUCUUCUUCUUCGUCUUUCCCAAACUCCUUCAUCCAUGGUGAAUUGGCUCCUUCGUCUUCCUCUGUGGCUCUUCACCACCAUCACAUUUGCCGUCUCUAGCUUCUUCUUCUUAAUCCCUUCGUUUCAUCAAUUUCAAUUGCACAGAAAUUAAAACUGUAGAGGUCAUUGACCUAGAUCUGGGACACAACAAUCUAUAAGAAACAGAAGAUGAAUCCUCAGACAAGUAUAGCUCUGCGUGAAGACGUCAUUCAAAGAACUGUCUAUGUCUAUGUGUCUGAUAUUGACCAACAGGUCACUGAGGAGCAGCUUGAUUGUUUGUUCAUCGGCUUUGGGCAGGUCUACGUCUCUUCUACAAGUUCAUAUUUGUUUGUGGUGUGUUCUUUGUCAUGGCUGGUUUUAGUUGUUUAUGUUAUUGACUGUUUGAUCACAUUCUUAGUGGAAAGUUAUGUGCUUUUUAGACUCAAGAGUCAGUACUAGUCCUGUUUUUGGUUCUCAGGCUGAAGAUGAGCAUGAGAUGCGUGCGAGAAAAAUCUACUACACUAAGAUCGACACUAAGGUCACUCAAACGGACAUAAAACUCCUCUUUGAGGCUGCGUGUGGAGAGGUAUAGCGUCUGAGGCUUCUGGGAGAUUAUCUUCAUCCUCAACUAGAAUCGGUUUCGUUGAGUUUGUCAUGCAGGCUGAAAGUGCAGUAACUACUCUCAAUUGCAGCGGCGUGCUUCUUGGCUCUUUACAUAUAAGGCCCAAAAAACAAACCAUUUUCUCAAACAUUUUGUGUUACUUGGUUAUGAAUCCGAACGUUGACGUGUUUUUGAUGGUUUGAUCACAGGGUGAGUCCCUCAAAUACACAUGUUUGUUCCCGUGCUAUCUCUGCUCUCCCAGACAUAAUAUGCUUUUAAAAUGUUAGGAUAUUCUGAGAGGUCAACCAGAUGCAGGGUUUUCCCUUUUUCCACAAUCAGAAAAUAUAAAUCUUGACGACAGAGGAGGCAAGGCGUGGUCGUGCAGUGGAGAUGUGAGCAUCGUUGUGCGGAGGUUUUCAUGGGUGAGCUAGUAUUGUUUCCUCUAUUGUGAAUAUCCAACAGGGUGAAAAUGUGGUUUGGCUCUUCUUAGGUGUUGCCAAUACGAGUAUCAUUCUCCAUGAUGAUGAGUUCCUGAAGUACUUAAAAGAUCAUCAAGAGAACUUUAGGUUUGAGAGAAUGUAACUUAUAUUUACGUAUGUGAGAGCUGGAACUCGAAGCUUUCUUAGCUUAUUUGUUUUUUACACUUUUAAUGUUUUGAUUUGAUUUAAGUUUCUUAUUAAAUAAUUGAAUCGAUGUGGUUUGAGUUUUCAAA